rnacentral:lncRNA from 1 species
AGAGAGACCGUGGGAGCAGGAAUUGCCGUUCCUGUUUCUUGGAAUUCUUCUCCCGUUCAGGCGUUCAUCCCUCUUUCUCUCCUGGCGACGAAGACGGCCGACGCCCUAUGCCAGGUGCCAUGUUCCGUCGGGUCCAUGGUGGGAAGCUGCGGCAAGCAAGUCUUCCCUCGCGAACCCGCUCGGCCAUCGCUUAACCAUCCGGUGAGACACCCCCUUCGUAACCGCCUUGCUUCGAUUUCGUUUUCGCGCAUCACCAUGGGAACGUUGUCACCGGAGCUAGCGAAUUUGGUGGCGCGCUGGUGAGGGCUCCGCUGGUUGGGGCGAUUCCCGGCCGUUGCUGCGCGUGAGGUUGAAGAGGGUACGGCUACCGUCCAUCUCGCGAUGGGCGUUUGUGAUUAAAAGCGAAUAUACUCCUUUGGUGAAGGGACCUGAGCCAUUGGAUAAGGAGUGGACGGGCAUGAUUGUGGAUGGACAGGGUCCGUUGGAUUGGAGUUGUAGGUUCAGGAUUAGAACUUUGUGUACCCCUUCACGUAUUUAAUCUGGACCAUCCGGAAUAGAUCGAACGGUCAGAAUACAACCGUAUCCCUUCGCCGAAGCUAGUUUACAAAAGAGCCCCUCUGUUUUAUUAGUAUUAACCCACCGUCCAACUCAGGGAUUUCUGAGUCUGCUUAAAUCUUGCGGGUUAGCCCCUGAUCUUUUAAGAAAUAUUGAGCUAGUCCAGAACACUUAGGAUAUUCAGAAAUUAAUAAAGAAAUAGGUUUUUAGUAUGAAAAUAAUUCUAUAAACUUGUAUAAUUCAUAGUUAAUUCAUUUUAGCUCCAAAUUGAGUCAUUCCAGUCUCUAUAAUUUUGUAUUAAUAAUGUUUAUCACCUAAUACCUUUGUUUAACCAUGAAACUUGAAUUAAAAUUGCUCAAUUGAAUUAAUCUAUUCUAGGUGCUAAAUAAUUUCAGAAAUUCAUAACUCAAUAAUCAUAACUCUGUUUUGAUCCAUUCUAGUUGCAUUAGUCUCACAAUAAUAUUUAUUAUUAUCUUGUAACUUUGUUUUGUCAUGAAAUAUAGGUUAAAAUGUUGCACUUAGUCUAUUCUAUAUUUAACCACGUGGAUCUUCAGAAAACCAUAACUUCAUAACCGUAGCCCCGAAUUUAGCGGUUCUCGAUCCCACGAUCUCGUAGCGACGCGUAGAUUAUUAUUACUCAGUUAUUCUUAUGUAUGGUGUAAUGUUAAUUUUGCCUAUGCCAUGUUUGUUUGUAUUGCUACGUUUAGCAGUGAGGCACGUGUCAUCUGAAGAGCAAGUGGUACCUGGAAUCUCAAGUGCCAAGCAAGUUGUGCCCUUGAUCACUUCUUUUACCCACUCAUGUUCUAAUUAAUCAUAAUGAUCUGCAUAGGUUAAUUUUGAUGGGACCUAAUAGGUUACCCUAGUUUGAUUAUCUUUAUACCUUGUUUACCACUGAACUUUUUGGGUAGUACUUGCUAGUGCUUUAAUGUGGUUUUGGGUAUGAAGAUACAUUAUUCAUGAUCACACUGUUAUUAUCUGUUUAUUAUUACUGUUCAUGAUAAGAUCAUUAUGUUAAUUGGAACAUGGAGAACCACCCGGGAAAACAGUGCUACCACAAGGGAGGAAUGGGACCCCUUGGCUGAUUAAUUAGGAAAGCUAGUGGAAGACUACCUUACCCGAAAGGGGCAAGGGCAGUAGGGGAGUGGUCAGUGUAGGGAGGCCCUCGGGAGGAUUUUGCUGCGAUGGCGGUCCUGCAAGGGAUUCCUGCAUUGGAGCUUCCUAUAAACUGUAGCGGGUUUUCUGAAGCUAGUGGAACUUUGUAAAAGCCUCGUAGUGUUACCCUGCCUCGCCUCCUCGGUAGAGGUGUAUGGGAAGUCGUGAUCCCUUGGCAGAUGGGUAACAUGACUUGUGGGUAAAGAUGCGCAACCUUUGCAGAGUGUAAAACUGGUAUACUAGCCGUGCUCACGGUCAUGAGCAGCUCGGACACUCACAUGAUUAAAUUAUGGAACUUAAACUCAAUUUGUCAUAUGCAUUACAUCGCAGGUGAGGUUGUUACUUUUGUUCUACUAUUUAAAUGGGUUGGUAUUUACUUAUACUUAGUAAUUGCUAAUAAAAUUUUGACCAACUUUAAAAGCAAUGCUCAGCUUUAACCAUCCUCUUUGGUAAGCCUUACACUUCACGUGAGCUCCCACCUUUAGCGAGUUCAUGCACAUUAUUCCCCACAACUUGUUGGGCGAUGAACGUAUGUGAGCUCACUCUUGCUGUCUCACACGCCCCCACAGGUCAAGAGCAGGUACCACAGGAUGAGGCGCGUGGAGGAUGCUGUGAUGAGUUCGUGAGUGGUCUAGGCCGUCGUCUCCCAGUCAACUUUGGGUUGCUGGACCGUUGUCUCCUUAUAAUGUAAUUAUUUAUUUUGUAUAGAACUCCUGUUAUAUAUAAAGAUGUGACAUUCGAUCCUGUGCCACUAUACAUCAUAUGUGUGAGACUUGGUCCCAGCAUAUCUGGUGUUUAUGUUCGCGCCCGGGUCUUGGUGCCCCUAAAACCCGGGUGUGACAGAAGUGGUAUCAGAGGAAUGUUGACUGUAGGACGAAACCUAGAUAGAACUGGACAACCAUUGUCUACUUACCUUUGCUACUCUGAUUCUUUUCUAAACUUACCUUAAUCUUUUCUCAUCUAUUUCCGCUUUACUCUGAUUAUUCUUACCUUUUCCUUCUAAAGACAAAUGUGGAUUUCACACUUUGAAAUCCUGUGCCUAAAGUGACUUUUUGGAAUAGAAGACCUAAUCUUAGGAAAAAAAUAAAAACUAUUUUUGUAGGUAUCUAUAUACUUGAAUGUCUGUUCUUAUGAUACUUGUCUGAUUUGGAUCUUUGAUUGAGUGUGAUGGGUUGUGGAGUAAUGUCCACAAUUACAUCUGCAUAUACAUAUAGGAAAUAAAUGCUUAUAAAAAUAAGUAGACAAACUAAAUUAUUUCCUCAUUAAAGUAUCUAGCCUAACAAUACCCAUCUCAUCUUAAAAGAUUCUAUCCAUCUUAUCUCAAAAGAUUCUACCUUAUCCUUAUGGAUUCAUCUUGCCCUAAUUAGUAUAUUUAUUCCACUCUAGAAUAACAACCAUGAGCUAACCCAAAAUCUAUUUAGAUCUUAUCUAGUCUAAAAUAGUCAUAUCAAUUUAUUCUAGAUCUGAUCCAACCUAAUAGGUUAAUCUAACCUAACGAAGUCUAACCUUAAGUUGAGCUAACCUAAGGACGGUCACUUAACCAGUUAACACUAGUGAAAAAUUGGAUCCUACUCCUAUAAACCUUGUUCUCCCCUCACGCACUUAAACCUAAAUUAGUGCAUUAGAACAACUCAACUGUGAGCAUAAGAGCUAACCCAACCAUAGAAUCUUGAGGGAUUGCAUAAUCUGUCUACCCUCACCUGACAUCAAACAAGAUUUUGACCUAUAUCAUGUAGUCUAUAUCAUCCAUAUCUAUCUUAACCAUAUUUCCUAACUCCAAUGAUAUACACUAACCUCGAAUCAAUGAGGCCAAGACCGGAGAAGAAAAGGUCAACUUCGUCAAGGAAGGACAGAAGUCACACUAGAUCUUCCAAUGUGCCAGGAUCCACCUUUCGGGAUGGAGUCAAUUCUUUCCAUAACCUCUCUUGCCACAACAUGUUCUCACUCUAACCAUCUCCCAUCUUACCAAUUCGAUGGCUAGGCAAAAAAAAUUCUUUUGAUGUUGGGACCAAUUAGGAGAUAAAAGCUACAUUAUAAACCAAACUUCCUAUACUAAUCUCGAGGGCGAGAUUAUUUUUAAGGGGGGUAGAAUUUGUAAAGCCCAAAAUUGGUGUAAGAAAAAAAACUAAUAAAAUAAAUAAAUAGAAAUAUUUAUAAGUGGGUGUUUUGAAGUUAUGAAACCCUUGGGGAUUAUUUGGUCUUCCUUUCCUUGUGCAUAUUCAACUAAAGGAAUUAAAGUAGUCAAAUGGCAAAUAAAUAAAUACGUGAAUGUGCAUUUCAUGCUGGAGAUCUUGUUUGAUUGCAUGUGUACUCAAAUUUUUGAGACAAGUUAAGUUUGAAAAGUAGAAUUUGUAACACCCAAUAAUACUAUUUUUGGAUUUAUGAAAAAAAUGCUCCCAAGGUUUUGAAUCAAAAUAUGUUCUAAUAAGAAUUUUCUUACCUACGAAACUACUCUUGAAAUAAAUGUGCUUCUAAUAGAAUAUUAAAUAAAAAAAUUCUUAUAUGAAUUAAAAUUACCCUAUGUAUAAUUAUAUAUAUUUAGGAAUAUUCACUAAAAUAUUUAAUAAAAAGUAUUUAUUCAUAAAGGAUCUACAUUAGAAAUUGUUACUUUUGUGUGCAUAAAUUAUAUAUUUAACGCAUUUUUCUUAAUUAAUUAAAAUAGUAAAUAAGUAAAUAGAAGUAUAUUUUUUCAUUCGUAUUGGAGAUUUUGAUUCUACAUUUUUUUUAUAAAAAACUUCAACACAGAUUUAACGUGAAACAAAUGAAAUAGAAAAAAAUAAAACAGAAAAAAAAACAAAAGAGAAUAAACAACGUGGCGUGUGCGUGAGAAUAAACAACCUGCCCACAACCACUUCUAUCGUUUUUUUUAUUUUAUUCUCCAGCCAGACGUUUGCAUGUCUGCACGUAUUUUCUCUCUGUCCGUUGAAAUCGCUGGCAGUUGGAGACAAUUUGUCAGGAUAUUAUUCUCCCUUCGUCGUAACAGAUCGCACACAUAUAUCGGCAAGUUCUGUUGAUCGCGCUGUUAACCAUAGCUAUCUGAUCUCUUCUUCUUUGGGUAUAAAUAUUUUGGAUGCCUCGUUUCCACGCCAUCUGCGCAGAACCUGCUAGCAUCCACCGAGAGCAAGGUCACAGCCACCAAUACCGCCACGAACUCGCGCUUAGUGAGAGAGACCGUGGGAGCAGGAAUUGCCGUUCCUGUUUCUUGGAAUUCUUCUCCCGUUCAGGCGUUCAUCCCUCUUUCUCUCCUGGCGACGAAGACGGCCGACGCCCUAUGCCAGGUGCCAUGUUCCGUCGGGUCCAUGGUGGGAAGCUGCGGCAAGCAAGUCUUCCCUCGCGAACCCGCUCGGCCAUCGCUUAACCAUCCGGUGAGACACCCCCUUCGUAACCGCCUUGCUUCGAU